AACGAACGCUGGCGGCAUGCCUAACACAUGCAAGUCGAACGAGACCUUCGGGUCUAGUGGCGAACGGGUGCGUAACGCGUGGGAACCUGCCCUUAGGUUCGGAAUAACUCCCCGAAAGGGGUGCUAAUACCGGAUAAUGUCUUCGGACCAAAGAUUUUUCGCCUUUGGAUGGGCCCGCGUUGGAUUAGCUAGUUGGUAGGGUAAAAGCCUACCAAGGCGACGAUCCAUAGCUGGUCUGAGAGGAUGAUCAGCCACACUGGGACUGAGACACGGCCCAGACUCCUACGGGAGGCAGCAGUGGGGAAUAUUGGACAAUGGGCGAAAGCCUGAUCCAGCAAUGCCGCGUGAGUGAUGAAGGCCUUAUGGUUGUAAAGCUCUUUUACCCGGGAUGAUAAUGACAGUACCGGGAGAAUAAGCUCCGGCUAACUCCGUG
rnacentral:rRNA from 1 species